rnacentral:rRNA from 1 species
ACAUGCUUAUAAAAUAGCGUUAAUGUAACAGAUUCCAUUAGAACUCUUUUAUUAAGCACGUUCGGGAUAUAGUAGUACCGGGAUGGGUGAUCACUCUAGAAGUCCUAGUGUUUUACAUGCC